CAGCCGCCGCGGUAAUACGUAGGGUGCAAGCGUUGUUCGGAAUUACUGGGCGUAAAGCGCACGUAGGCGGUUAUUCAAGUCAGAGGUGAAAGCCCGGGGCUCAACCCCGGAACUGCCUUCGAAACUAGAUGACUGGAAUCUUGGAGAGGUCAGUGGAAUUCCGAGUGUAGAGGUGAAGUUCGUAGAUAUUCUGAAGAACACCAGUGGCGAAGGCGACUGACUGGACAAGUAUCGACGCUGAGGUGCGAAAGCGUGGGGAGCAAACAGGAUUAGAGACCCCCGUAGUCCCUGUCUCUUAUAC
rnacentral:rRNA from 1 species